rnacentral:rRNA from 1 species
GAUCAUGCUCAGGAUGAACGCUAGCGGCAGGCUUAACACAUGCAAGUCGAGGGGCAGCGCGGGGCGGCAACGUCCUGGCGGCGACCGGCGGAAGGGUGCGUAACGCGUGAGCGACAUGCCCGUUGCCCGGGGACAACCGGUGGAAACGCCGACUAAUCCCCGAUGGGACGGAGGCCCUCAUGGGUCUCUGUUGAAAGUUACGGCGGCGACGGAUUGGCUCGCGUCCGAUUAGCUAGUUGGCGGGGUAACGGCCC